CGUUGACUGCCUGCUUUGGGAAUUUGUUUGACAUUCCCGCUAUUAAGUUGGUAAAGCAUGCCCGGUACAUUUGAGAACGAGGACGUUAGUUGUGAUGGGGUGGCACCAGUAGAGAAACCCUGCAAGUGACCAGAGCUACCAUCAAUUUAAUGGAAUACCCACAAAGUCAACCUCUGAACAUUAACUUCAAACACCUCAACUGAGAAAGGAGUGUCCAGGAAGUUAAAUCCCUCAGGAACUGGAUAGAAUUACUAGCUCGCAAGGAAAAUGGAGUCCCAAAAUCUGGUUCACUGGUGCCGGGAUUUGCUAGCAGGUGACCCGUACGGGACAUGCAGGUCUGAGUCGUCACUAACUGCAUUUUAGGGGGUCAGGUUACAAAUCUUGGUCGUCACAUUUCUGUAUCGGCGAAUGUGAAGUGAAGACAAGACUUCCUGGACAGCCUUUACAGUACAAGAACGUGCGCUGUUAA